rnacentral:miRNA from 1 species
AACAAUUGUCAUGACACGGAC